rnacentral:rRNA from 1 species
ACACAUGCAAGUCGAGGGGCAGCAUGGUCUUAGCUUGCUAAGGCCGAUGGCGACCGGCGCACGGGUGAGUAACACGUAUCCAACCUGCCGUCUACUCUUGGACAGCCUUCUGAAAGGAAGAUUAAUACAAGAUGGCAUCAUGAGUCCGCAUGUUCACAUGAUUAAAGGUAUUCCGGUAGACGAUGGGGAUGCGUUCCAUUAGAUAGUAGGCGGGGUAACGGCCCACCUAGUCUUCGAUGGAUAGGGGUUCUGAGAGGAAGGUCCCCCACAUUGGAACUGAGACACGGUCCAAACUCCUACGGGAGGCAGCAGUGAGGAAUAUUGGUCAAUGGGCGAGAGCCUGAACCAGCCAAGUAGCGUGAAGGAUGACUGCCCUAUGGGUUGUAAACUUCUUUUAUAAAGGAAUAAAGUCGGGUAUGCAUACCCGUUUGCAUGUACUUUAUGAAUAAGGAUCGGCUAACUCCGUGCCAGCAGCCGCGGUAAUACGGAGGAUCCGAGCGUUAUCCGGAUUUAUUGGGUUUAAAGGGAGCGUAGAUGGAUGUUUAAGUCAGUUGUGAAAGUUUGCGGCUCAACCGUAAAAUUGCAGUUGAUACUGGAUAUCUUGAGUGCAGUUGAGGCAGGCGGAAUUCGUGGUGUAGCGGUGAAAUGCUUAGAUAUCACGAAGAACUCCGAUUGCGAAGGCAGCCUGCUAAGCCGCAACUGACAUUGAGGCUCGAAAGUGUGGGUAUCAAACAGGAUUAGAUACCCUGGUAGUCCACACGGUAAACGAUGAAUACUCGCUGUUUGCGAUAUACAGCAAGCGGCCAAGCGAAAGCGUUAAGUAUUCCACCUGGGGAGUACGCCGGCAACGGUGAAACUCAAAGGAAUUGACGGGGGCCCGCACAAGCGGAGGAACAUGUGGUUUAAUUCGAUGAUACGCGAGGAACCUUACCCGGGCUUAAAUUGCAGAUGAAUUACGGUGAAAGCCGUAAGCCGCAAGGCAUCUGUGAAGGUGCUGCAUGGUUGUCGUCAGCUCGUGCCGUGAGGUGUCGGCUUAAGUGCCAUAACGAGCGCAACCCUUGUUGUCAGUUACUAACAGGUUCUGCUGAGGACUCUGACAAGACUGCCAUCGUAAGAUGUGAGGAGGGUGGGGAUGACGUCAAAUCAGCACGGCCCUUACGUCCGGGGCUACACACGUGUUACAAUGGGGGGUACAGAGGGCCGCUACCACGCGAGUGGAUGCCAAUCCCAAAAACCUCUCUCAGUUCGGACUGGAGUCUGCAACCCGACUCCACGAAGCUGGAUUCGCUAGUAAUCGCGCAUCAGCCACGGCGCGGUGAAUACGUUCCCGGGCCUUGUACACACCGCCCGUCAAGCCAUGGGAGCCGGGGGUAUCUGAAGUGCGUAACCGCGAGGAGCGCCCUAGGGUAAAACUGGUGACUGGGGCUAAGUCGUA